UACGUAGGGUGCAAGCGUUGUCCGGAAUUAUUGGGCGUAAAGAGCUCGUAGGCGGCUUGUCACGUCGACUGUGAAAACCCGGGGCUCAACUCCGGGCCUGCAGUCGAUACGGGCUGGCUUGAGUGCGGUAGGGGAGACUGGAAUUCCUGGUGUAGCGGUGAAAUGCGCAGAUAUCAGGAGGAACACCGGUGGCGAAGGCGGGUCUCUGGGCCACUACUGACGCUGAGAAGCGAAAGCAUGGGGAGCGAACAGG
rnacentral:rRNA from 1 species